GUAGGUGGCAAGCGUUGUCCGGAAUUAUUGGGCGUAAAGCGCGCGCAGGCGGUCCUUUAAGUCUGAUGUGAAAGCCCACGGCUCAACCGUGGAGGGUCAUUGGAAACUGGGGGACUUGAGUACAGAAGAGGAAAGCGGAAUUCCAGGUGUAGCGUGAAAUGCGUAGAGAUUUGGAGGAACACCAGUGGCGAAGGCGGCUUUCUGGUCUGUAACUGACGCUGAGGCGCGAAAGCGUGGGGAGCAAACAGGAUUAGAUACCCUGGUAGUCCACGCCGUAAACGAUGAGUGCUAAGUGUUAGGGGGUUUCCCGCCCCCCUUAGUGCUGCAGCUAACGCAUUAAGCACUCCGCCUGGGGAGUACGGCCGCAAGGCUG
rnacentral:rRNA from 1 species